GUGUUACUUACAUGGUUAAUUCUGGUUCCUUCGCUCAAAUGUCUGCUGCAAGAUGCCAUAUUUUAUGAAAUGCCCACCACAGAUUCUUGAAUUUAAGGACUUGAGCACUAUCUGGUAGGUGCUGUUUUGGGGUGCUGGGCAUGGCUGGGAGGGGUGAAUUUCUGGGUGCUGGCCUCUGGAUAUUUUAUCUCAGUCUCAAUUCUGGCUUGAGCCCUCUGCUUCUUGAUUCACCAA
rnacentral:lncRNA from 1 species